ensembl:lncRNA
AUGCUCAACCUUAUUCUCCACCGCCCACCUUUUGACCUGAAACCUCAAACUCCCCCAAAUAAAUUCUUACCCGCCCACCUAACCCCCCCUCGGUCCUGUUCGGUCCUGUCCCGUAAACCUAACCUCACCUUCUCCCCCUGAACUCACCUCUUCCCCUCCCUCCGACCCACCAAACUCUCCCCCCCUCCCCCUCCUGCCCCGCCAGCUGUAACCCCGAGCUUACCUUUAAACGCGGUUAGCCCCGCCCCUCUCGACCCCUGAACACACCUCAGCUCGCCCAGUGUGGCCCCCUCUCCCGUUUGAACUCGCCCAUAACGUCCCACUGAACUUCAACACUUGUGUCUUUUCUCCCACACGUCCCACAGCAGACGGCAGAAGUAGCUCCACUUGGAAUAUCUACUUAAAUGCUGGUGUUCAUUCAUAUUGAGAGAAUUCCCCAUAAAAGGCCUUUGAUCUCAUCGUCCCGUUUUUCUCCUUCCUUGUAAACAGAAACGUCGUUGGAGGGUCAGACGCUCGUUAGACAUCCGUCGGGUUUCUCUCGAAAUCCACAUUCUCACAUUCUGAGGUUAUAACAUUCACAGCUGAGAGGCCUUAUGGAUUCGUCCAAUGCUGAAGCGCGCGCACACGCACACACACACACACACACACACACACACAGGGCAGCUCGUGUUUUCUGGUUGACCUUCGCCUCGCUCUUCUGUGCUCUCACCUCGUAAUUUAGCGCUUAUUUUCACAUUGCACGCACACAGGUAGAGAAACACAAACUCUCUGCAAACCACCGAUACAGACAUCCAGGGGGCCGGUCUCACCUCGACGGGUUAUCUCUCUCUUCUAGCCCCCCCCCCCACACACACACAGUGUGCGCUGACCCCGGAGCAGCUCAUUGAAGUCCCAAUAAAACACGGAGGAAUCGUCGGCACGCAACUUGACAUUCUAGUGGUUUGUUUGGAUAACCUCACACACACACACACACACACACACACACACACACGCACACACACACACUCGUUCUGCAGCACACAGUAUUUUACAUUUACGACUCUCCAGAUCCUGAGAGACCCCACUGCCUCGCUCGGCCUUCGGCGCUGCCCUCUGGUCCACCCCGCCACACACACACACAAACACACACACACGCGCACACAUACACACACACACUCUCUUUCCCAGCAAUUAUCUUCAAACUAAACACUGGCUCAGAAGCGGUAACAACAGAGCAGAGCUAUUGUGAGCACCGUACUUUUUUUGUCAGGUUGUUGCUACACUGACAUUUUUUAGGACUUUACGUCCACGGGAGACCAAUGAAUGGAAAGUGCUAAAUAUUCGCCUUCAAAUACACAAUAUCGAUUAAACGCAGGCAUACUUCGUUAUGACUUGACAAACGAUUCACUUACCUUCAGAAAUAUUCCUUUAUAAAACACAACUCUUAAUGGGACUCGGAGGCCUGUUCAGUCUCUGCACAACAAAUGUUAUGUUCUCAUAACUCUGGACGGACAUUUCGCUUUUUUUAAAUCAAAAUCUUGUGUUCGGCUUCUCCUUCGGAGUUUGGAAGUGGUUUGAAGUCGGGUUGUUGAAUAGAAGUCAAUGGCCGUAAAAUGUGCAGUCCUCCUCUUGAUGUAUAAAUCACACCGGUAACGAUAUUCCUAAAUGUUCCUCCUUAAUUGCUGUUUGCACAUGCACACGUGUGUGUUUGUGCUCUACUUUAGACAACUAAAGGCUGCACGCACUAUUUUGUUGGCCUGUGUGUGUGUGUCUGUGUGUGUACUCCUGUUCCCCCUGCUGUGUGUUCCAGGUCUGUACUUAUGAGUCUCUCCCUGAGAACUAAAUCUUCUAUAACUUUCACCUCAACAUGACCUUCGAUUUAAGUGUGUGAGUGUGUAAACGGCGUAAUCAUUACCUCACCCUGACCUGUGUGUGUGUGUGUGUGUGUGUGUGUGCGCGCUUUUUAUGUCACCUAAUCCUGACCUCGACCUCUUGACAACACUCUCUUUCACGAUAUAAAACACUGUAAUGGUGGCGUUUUUCACUUCAAAAGGCGCACACUGAGGUUUCGGGGGAAACACAUCAGUCAUUUUACGCGUUCAGGUUAUGAGAACGCAGACACCAAAAUCAUCCGCGUGCACCUCGUACAUCAUCCCGUGCACUUCAACGUGGACCAGGGCCCCUCUAAAGUCUGUCAUUUGAAGGCACCAGGAGUUUCAGGACCUCAGAUCGUGUAACGCUGAUACUUUUGGGUCAAUAAAUAUGUCGCAUAGAUUUGUAUCUGUCUUAUAGAUUUAAGGGGAGCAAAUUCAGCAGUGGUUCUGCCACAAGCGCCAAUUAAGGGGGUUGUGGUCGAUGUCAGAAGCCUGUGUAACGUCAGCACACGAGUCCAAAGGUGGGAUUCUUAUUUAGGAUCAGCUUCCACUAAAUGGCACCAUGAGAUGAGAAGGUCAGGUGAGUGGGUCGCAGGGGGGUGAGGGAGUGACCCACCCACUCGCGUUGGGGGAAUGAGUGGGUAACCGGGCGGCUAGAUGGGUGGGUAUGAGUGCAGUUGGGUAGUUGGGUAUGUGCGCGGUUGGGUAAGUGGGUGGGAUGUGAGUAGAAGAAGGUACAUAUUAUUUUAUUUCUAGGUCACUAUUUCCUAAUGUUUAACUGCUGUAUUUAGACAGAAAAUGUAACAAAGUAUAACCAGAAGUGAGACCCAACAACAGUUUCCACACAAAGGCAGUUCUUUAAAUAUGUAUUUUUGUGUUAUGAUGAAACACACUCUUCUUUUUGGAGGCCAACUCCUUUCAGCUCCGCAUAACGUGGCGAAUCCUCAUUUGUGGUUUCAUGCAGACAACGCGGCUGCCAUCGCAGAAUAAAGCCUUGACAUGAUAACGCUUCCAGCUAAAACACAGCGAAACCACGGACAUCUGUGAGGAGAGUCGCCCGUCAGUCCCUGAGAACACGUGCAGCGGCGCGCACAAAGGAGAGGACUUCACCUUCGGCCUCCCACCGCGUGAGGAAACGUCCCGCUCGCCCUCGACCGGCGCCGUGGUUAGUGUUACUGUCUCCUCUGCCGGAGUUCAGCGGCGGACGGUCCGACCGCAGACGAUUCGCAGACGCGUUCACCGCCACCUUCCCCCCCGACUGUCCUCGCCUCCUUGUUCCGCUGCUGGAAAGCACGAGGUGCCCGUUUAAGCCCCCCAAAAUCCUCUCGGCCCGGCGGGUCUUUUGCUUCUGGAAUGCGCAGCACUGAGAAUGUAUUUGAAGCGGGACGAAUUUCCCUCGAGCGGUGAAAAAGAUGUGUUUGAAGGUCGGGUUGGAGGUCGGGUUGGAGGACGGGUUGGAGGACGGGUUGGAGGUCGUGUUGGAGGUCGGGUUGGAGGUCGGGUUGGAGGACGGGUUGGAGGACGGGUUGGAGGACGGGUUGGAGGACGCGUGGAGUCGGUUCGGGCGUCGCUCGUCGAGGCCUCGCUGCCAGAUCUUACGGCAGGAUUAUGACGUCUCGUAAAUACUUCGACACAAAGCGGCCACGCAAUGAAAUACGCGGGCCGCCGUGUGCGAUCCAGCACGCCGUCCUCCCUGAAGGUCCAUUUCAUAUUCAUAAAUAAUGACGAAAAGUCCGACGCAAGAGAAAAUAACGUUGUCCUCGUACAGGGCCUUUAUUUCAAUAAUCCACACAUUCCGACAGGCUUCCCCUCCCGAACCACCUCUGUAAGCGUUUUAUCAUCACCACCACAUCUGGGGUGGGCAUUCGUCAAGGACAGAAACAUUGCGUCUUUACCUAAACAAGUACAACAAUUUAUAGCUUUCUAACUUUUAAAAUAGCACGCCGUGAAAGUUUUUACUGCUACUGACGUUGUAGUGAGGUUUGGACACACUCUGAUCUCAUCAAACAUGACUUCAGGGACGUUAAAUCAGCCCGUUUUAUCUCCGAGAGGAAGCCUUGACGUUUUUUACAAUGGGGAUUUACAGCUAACAAUAACUUCCUGCUGGGGACUCAAAGACUACAAAUAGAUGCAACAUUCAUAAAACGUUAUUUCUAUUGACAUUCUCAGGCAAUUAGAAGGGAUUGUAAUGAGCAACAUUUACAUGUGUGGAGGAAAAAGGCCUUUAAUGUUUAAUGGGUUUCAUCUUGAGCACAUAUAGUAUAUCAUGUGUUCAUACGUUUGGAUAAUUAACUGAUACCUAAUACAUGUUGAUGCAUAUUGCAAUGACUUUAUUUAAGAUGCUUUGUACUUUAUUUGGGAUAUUUUACUAAAUUUCUUUGGAUAUUUUAGUGAAUUUGCACAGAAUGUCACCAAAUAGCUUUUUACUGUCUUUUACUGUUUUCUUUUAGUGUAGGGUCUUACUAACAAUUUCCAGAUAUUUUUUGGGGGGCUACAUUUUCAGAGUGAUUGAAUUAGUUCCAACGAUGUCGUAAAAGUGAAUCCCGUAUAAACGUCAACCCCGCGCCGCCGUAACUGAUGUAGUGCCCCUGUGUUUAAAGACGGAGGCUCAGCCAAUCGGCUGCCUGCUUCAGAAUCACGGCCAACGUGGCGUCCAGCUGAAAUUAAAAAGAGCCGAGCCGCGGCCGCUCGCUCACUUCAACGGUUGUUGUUCCUCAAGCGGCAAAAAACAACAAACAAAAAAAAAGCAUCAUUCAUGGUUUUCAGAGGCAUCUCCGGCAAAUCCGGCCCACCUGUGUUUCCUUGACACGAGAGCUGUGUGUGUGUUUGUGUGUAAAUGCGUGUGUGUGUGCGUGAUUGGUUAUUAUGUUAUUUUGUCAACAGAACAGUUUUUAACAAGCACGUGGGCAUGAGCACCAAAUAGGUGAAUACAAAAAACAAAAAAAAGGAAUUACACUAUAAACACCAGCAGGAACGAGUGGGUCAGGGUUUAUGUGUGUGUGUGUGUGUUCCUGUGCGUGUUUGUGUGUGCUCUAUAAAGCGAUAGCGGAAUGUGCUCUCACUCUUUAAUGAGGUUCAUCAAAAACAGUCAGGCGUCAAGAAAUGAGCCUCUUCACACGCAACGAGGGACGGGGGGGACGGGGGGGAGGGCUCUAUCUCACACAUGGGAAGUAACGAACGGUCAAUAAACAGACCGCCGCGUUGGUCAGUUUAAAAACCUCAUUACACCAGCAAGGAAGAUCAGGUUUUUGGGGCCUUUUCUUGGCUCCAAAAGCAGACAUGCAGCACGAAUACAGGCGUCAAAUAGAAGGUGUGUGCAGCAUCCUCACGUCGGAUAGAGUCACGUGACCCGGUGGUGGGAAAGAGUAAUGCAGCCUCAAAGAAAAGACGCUUUGAAAAUGUGCAUUUCCAACGCGUUGGCACCGCCCGCGGAGGCCCCCGGUGAUACAAAACCAAGCGGGUGCGAAUGUUUUUGCCCAGAACGAAACCGGGAGGAACGCGCAGGGAGCCAGUGGAGGGAGAAAGUGACAAUAUGAGAGAUUUAAGGCGAGUUGGGACAAGAAAAAGAGGCUGAUUUACUGGAACAAAAAGAAGCGAUCAAGGAGAAAGAAGACGCAGUGAAGAUUUGUGAUUGAGCUUUUCUCUCCAAAUCUGAAAAAGUUCUCCGUCUUGGUUCCCCAUGAUGACGCUAAAUCUCAAAGCCCACAUUGUACCGCCUGCAUGCGGUUGUGUGUGUGUGUGUGUGUGUGUGUAUAUAAAUCAACAGCAUGUUUUCUUUCACUCUGCUCCAGUGGAAUAUUUUUUUAAUGAGUUGUUUUAUUCCCGACUCCCGACCGUCACAUGAACGCUGACGCACCGUCGGAGACAAGCGUAUGAAACGGGGGGACGGAGGACUUAUAGAGGCCGAGGGACACACACACACACACACACACACACAGAUCAACUCCUGCUUUGAUCGGCCGUAUACUUGUGUUUUAUUUUAUAAAAGUUCUCUUCUCUGUUGCACGGAUCCAAAAUGCAACAAACACACACACACACACACACAAAAUGUGCUGGCAGGGGAAAAAUGUUUGAUGUCGAAAUACAGUUUGUAAUCUGCACCAAACAUUCUCGGAAAGGACGUUUUGUACAUGUGUCUGAACAUAUACACGAGAAGAGAAAAACAACCGAAGGCGCGCCAAAACAUCCAGGUCUUCACAACAGCUUCAGAGAUACUUCACAGGUUGUGACCUCAUUCGCCUUCCUAUCAGCCCUCUUAUCUAUGUGUGUGUGUGUGUGGUGUCGUGUCAGAUAGGAUGUCUGAUCUUUUAUCGCUCUGGCUGCAGAAUCACCUGCCAGAUGAACCGGCGGGUUCAGCCUGCGAGAGCUUCGGGGCCUCGACAUCCCCGGGACGGCCGGAGGCCGCGGCGAGACAACACGAGGAUGCAGAUUAAACGUCAGCGCGAACCGCUUACGAAAAACAGUCCGGAGCGUUUGUGCGGUCCUGCUCCUGAAAUAUUUUGCCGUUAUUUCUUCUCUCAGUUUGGCGCAUUGAGGCAACGAAACUCUCUUGAACGCCGGCGGCGCUGAAUGUCAAACGUCACAGGAGAGAUUGUCUCGUUUUGUAAAGCAGAAAUGAAGAAUUCUGGGGAAUUUUAUCUCGCAAUAAUCUCUGGAAAACAAAUUUCAUUUCAAACUACAAAACUACAACAACAAUCAGACACUUCUCUGCCCCAAAGUAGCUAAAUAAAUUCACCUUUUCACCAUUUGAAUGAAUACUGGAGCCAGUGGGAAACCACAACUUCCCAGAGUCAGCCAACGAGGUCCAACAUUAAAACCUGUGAGCUUUUAGAGGGCUGCUCGGCCUAUUCUGUACAGUCGUUUUCUUCAUUUUCCCCUCUGAAUGCUAAGCUACGCUAAUGGUCUUGUGGCCCUCGCUUCGUACAGACUCGAGAGUGGCAUCAAUCUUCUCAUUAGCUCUUGGCAUGAAAGCGGACAACGUGCGUUUCCCAUGUUGAACAAUGGCUUUGACAAAAUAAAUAAAGGGUCACAUUCCGCGGAUCAAACGAUGCCUCGCUGCAGCGACGAGCUGAUUGGAUUUGCCACGAGGUCUUUUUCAGGUUGUCAAGGCACCGCAAGCAUCUUUGAGUUUGGCACCCGGGUGGAUUUACCAGAAGUUACACAGUCAUCAUGUCUGCAGAUCCACCGAGGAAACCAAACGCCUGUCGGGACCUCACCACUUCUUUGUGUCCCUCCCUGAUUCAAUCAGCUUUGUUGGAUGCAGAUUUCUCGGACUGAUACAAGUGGGCGCAAUAUUUACUUUUCUUACACAGUAAACAUCUUUCUAUUUAGUCUACCAGGUCGCUGAUGUGUUUGAGCCAAACUUUGUUAGUGUGAGGUUGGUCCUGGCUGGAGGUUUAUUUUAGGGCAACAUUUGUGUGUUUUUUCGGAUGUGGAUCAGAUCACUUUGAGGCUCUUUGACGGUAACUUUGUGUUUUGACUCGCGUCUGUGUUCACGGUCUGGUAAUUUUGUGUUUUGUAUGUUCUGCCCACAGACUGUAUAUAAGGAGGGGACAUCGGUUGGUCUUUGACGCAUCUAGUUUGACAUUGGGGUUUAGUCUUGUUUGAGCCAGAAGUUACCAUAUUUGGACAAGGUUGAGUCCAACGAGGCCCGGGAGGGCCAGAUCCUGUUAGCAGCUAAUGCUAUCGCUAGCUGGGUUAUCAAAAAGUAUCUGUAAAUUCACAUUAGCUAAACUUAGCAAUUCAAAUCUAAGUUAAGAAAAAACAGGCUUGUUUGAAGUGUGGUGUUAGAGAGUUAGAGAGCUGUCAAUCACAGUGCUUCAUGGUCUAUUAUACCCUAAUAAUUUACUAAGUGAACAUCAUGCUGCCUUGAAGACUUGGAACUAGAGAUUGAGACCAUAACCUCAUAUUUACAAUGCUUACCCAGGGAAUAAAUCAAGAGAAAAGUAGAGUCAUUUUCCCAUAGACUUCUAUGGUAAGAGAGGAGUCGCCCCUGGUGGUCACUUGAGAGAAUGCAGCUUUGAGACCCUUCAGCCCUGGCUUCACUCUUCAGACCCAGACAUGAAGCGUACGACUGAUCAGCCUCACUGUGACCUUUUGUCUUUGCUUGUUCAGACGACACAGACUCCCCCAGGAGAACAGUGGUGACUCCAAACUGUCCAGUGGGUUUUGUUCCUCUUAUUCUAUUCUUUCGCCUCCACAUUAAUCCCAUAAAUAUAUCCCAUCUCUUCAUAACUGCACAUAAAUCACUCUCCAUUUCUCCACUCUAUCGUUCUUACACAGCACCCUCCACGUGAACUCUCCGCUGGCAGGGGAUCCACUCAGGUGCCUCUCCAUGUGUGUGUGUGUGUGUGUGCGCAAAAGAAGCAUGUGUCUCGAGUGUGUUUAUGUGCUACAAUAGAGUCCUGUUUGUUUGCAGGGGGAAUCUGUGUGUGUGUGUGUGUGUGUAUGUGAGAGAGAGUCAGGUGUCGAGUUUACCCCCAGAUCGACCCAACCUGGGAAUGAUCUAGUCUCAGAGGGGGAAGCCAAAACUUCUCCACCAUGUAUGUGUGUGUGUGUGUGUGCGUCUAACCCAGAGAUGACUCACAAACCAUCUGGAGGCCAGAUGCAGGUUAGAAAACUACUCUCUCUCUACUCUGUCCCCUCCCUCCCUCCAGUUGCCAUUAGUUCCCUUAGUUAACCUGUGAACUUUGACCUGUGUGCUGUGCAUGUGUGUGAGUUCAUCCUGUGUGUGUCUGUGUGUGUCUUGUCCUGGUGUCCUGGUUAAGUCAACGACGGGGUUGUGACCUUUCUCAGCGGUUGCAAACUCUCCCUCGGUGACCCCCGGAGUUCAAGUUCACUAAUUGUCCCUCAUCCCAGUUAAACAGCCUCCAUCUUUCUCCCCCUUUGGCGGCUCCGCCUCCCUGUCACCUGGUACGUAGAUUAAGUCUGGGAAACAAGACAUUACUAAAAGGUCUUACAGGCCGGUCUCUGAGUUGUUUUCUAUUUAGUUCCAAUUGGCGUUUGUUAAAAAUGAGAUGUUUAAUUUGCCAGAAGAAAGACUCAGGACGUCCAAAAACAAGGAUUCAGAUAUCCGAAAUGAAUGCCAGGGAGUCCUCCCAGUACCUCCGGUUCACAUCUUACACGGCAUUAUGGGAGCAGCGGUUCCCCUGCGGAUGUACUCUGGGUAGUUAAAUCGAAAAGAAUGUGUCCCAUCGGUCCCCGGAGAGCAGAUGAUGACUCCGCAGACCUCAUGAGGACAACGUCUUACGCUUAACCGCAUAAGAACAAAGACGAUCCACCACAGCCCAUUCUUCUGGAGAUAAAACGGGCGUUUAUGUGCUGUCAUACGUUUCAAUACCGUCAAGACUUGAAAGUAAAUCAUCAAAAUAAUUGUGUGUGUGUUCGACUGACACCAGUAAACCAGUAAGAUGUAUCAUCAAUGUAACAAGACAACAGGAAUUCUGUCUAAUGCUCAGCCAAAUGUUCUAAAUUCGUCCCCUGAGAGGUCGAGUCUGUGCGCGGGCGGGACAACAUUGUUUUGAACACCAUCUUCGAAGUGUGAGCAUGUGGUGGACGCGUGAGGUUUGACAGGAGAUGACUGUAUCUCAGGUCCUGAUUGGACCUAAAGCUUUGGUUUUGGUAGGAGGGUGUUGAGGGGUUGCUGAAGGUCCGUUUUUAUAAGCUGUCGAGGCUCAAUCUGUGCAGGUGUGAGAAUGAAAGAAAGAGGCCAAACAAGGACUAGAUGGCAAACCGCCCUUCACUCCCACAGCAUUCCCAAAUUGGCCUCUAUAAACCCUUUGUUUUGGACACUUCCCUUCCUCAGCGCUCCACUGGAUGCUUUUAUUCUGAAGGGCCAUCAGAGGGGAAGCUAAACAGCUGGAUUGUGGAGUAGAAACAACCCCCCAAAAAGGGCCACAAACUACAUUCAGAUUCCAGCUGAGAUGAUCCCAGUUAGCUGCUGGUGGGAGGAGCUUUGCCUCUCCGCCACUGACCACGAGCCUAUCGGGUGGGAAACGAGACACAGGUUGGAUACCAGCUGAGAGAUCAGCAUAUCCAGAUGUUUUGGUAGAACAACAACCCCCAACAAUUAUUUUCCCUAGUUAUCUGAUGAACAUCUUUACUUUUACAACAUACAUUUGUCUCCUCAAAGUUUAGUGUUAUACUAAAUCACAUUAUCUGUUGUUCAAAUGUGAUUUCAUUAUAGUUUAUUAUACCACUGAAGAAUUUUAAUUUAAACCUGCUGACACACUAAAGAGGUUGUUGUAUUCCACUUGAAGUCUAGUUUUGAGGCUUUAAGCUGCAACUCAAACAGCAAAACAGUCUUUGAGAUAGAGUCCAAAUGUUUAAAGUCUAAAUCAAGUCUCUAGUCUUUGAUAAAGAGUCCAACUCAAAUGUCAAGCGUAAAGAGACAUCCCAUCAUAUGGAGGAGUGAAGGGAUUUCUUUACAAUAUCAAUAUCCAGGUUAAAUAUCCAUGGUCCUAACUGAGCAGCUGUCUUGUCAGAGGCCUCACUGGAGAACUGAUUUGGACAACAAGAGCGAAAUGUUGCAGGCGGACGUCGGCGCAAUCACAAAAAACUGCAGCACAACGUGGCCAAGAUGUCAAGAUGUCCGCCUCCAGCCACGAUGGUCCCGACCAAUCGUACGACUGUUCCUCAAUGCCGGGAUCCUCUCUCUCUCUCUCUCGCUCUCUCUCUCUCUCUGACAUUUCCAUGAACCAACUCUUGAUGUUCCUCAGAAGAACAGAGGAGAGGACGAGAGGACGGUUGAAAGACAGGGUUUGGGAAAAAGAAACAAUAGAAAUGUGCCGGGCAGAUGUCCCCCCCCCCACCCCCCUUCCCUUCUUUCCCAAUACUCCUGUUGAAACUGGGGUAAUAUCUCCGGUGUGUGCUGACACGUUUUGGGCAGUGACCAUUCAGGGGGAUUUUAACAGACAGAAACCCGAGUGGGCGCCCGCUACCGUGGGGGGGUGGAAAGACGACAGCAUGGAGUCCCGCCGGGAGAAGGACGUGUGACAGGAACCACCUUGUGAACUCAGCCUAAUUUGGGCAUUUUGUAGAACAUUUACUGCACACACGCAACAAAGAAAGGCCUCAGGAUGGAAAGGAGUUGUGUCAGAGCGUCCUGUAGGAACAAAGGAGAGUCGGGAAACAGACUGUAACUAUACGGCCGCCUGAAUGAAACACAUUCACUGAUGAUGUGUCCGAGUCAAGUUGGUGGUUUUUCCUCAGACCAAAAGUCAAAAGCUGCACGGAUCAAAUUCACAGUUAUCUAACAAAAGGGAACUUAACUGUAUUUACAGUGCGACAGUAAUGCAGCUGAAAUAACACCGGCUGGUGUCCAUCUUUUCCUUUGUGCUCUUCAGAUAGGAUUCUCCUCAUCAUGAAGGUCACACUUUGCACAACGCAGGCCUCACGCUCUUUGGCAGAAGCUCCCUGACCACCACGAAGGGGGAAAUACCAUUUCUGCUCAAAUGAAACACGAGUCCGGGCCAAGCGGCCGUCUUACUCUUUAAAAUCUCACUCCGGCUCGGUGGGGCCGAGCAGCGGAGCGACAUGAGAUUCUCAGAGAAUCGGUUCCGUUUCCCUGCGUUGGCUUCGGCUAACGAUGUUACCAAAGAAAACGUUUUGGACUUCCUGUACGGGAUCUAAUUUGGAAUAGAAAUGUAUUUUUUGUGUAUAUUCACCUGAUUUAAGGGCCUCUUUACGCAAUGCCAAGCCAGAACUCUCCUGGAUCUAGCUCCCUGUACUUCCCUAAAGUUCGCCAGCAUUUUCAGGACUUUGAACCACUUGCUCCUCAUUGUAUUACUCCAGUGUGUGAAUGAAGGACUCCGUCAUUUGUGAUAGACGCUCAGAAACAACAUAUUGAGAAAGAAAAGUUGAGCCAAACCUUUUGAUUUCCUGUUGUUGGGUACUUUCACGCUGAAAAUAUAUCAAAACGGUCUCAAAGCAGAAGCAAACGAACAUGUAGUUUCCUCCCGCUGCAUUGUGCGUCAACGUCCUACUACACUCUACGCUGUCAGAUCUGAUCCUUAAGGGACCAAAACUCCUGCCUCCCCAUUAGAAGGCGGUUUCCGCGCAAACACUGGUCCCUAAAACUUACCCGCUCUGGUUUCUGGGAUGUGCCAACGAAAUGAAAUUCUCCCUGAAACCCAAACAUUCAGUCCGCCGACUACAAAUGUGUCAAGGACGUGUUUGUUUGCAGAAAAUGUGUAAUUACACAGUUUCACAGUCCGUUUACUGUGGGACUCGAACACCUCUUCCGCCACCGAGCUCAAGAACUUUACUUCGCUCACUUUUACUUUCACGUAGGUGUUUAGAGAGGGAGCGAAUUAGAGGGAAUUAUGAAGAGGAGAAAGAAAUGGAAGACAGACAUGCAUUAGCACAUUGUUACUGCAGUGGCCAGUCAGUCUGGGAACCCGUAAUAACCCUUCAACACUAAUGACAAAACCACACACAUGCACGCGCGCACACAGUCUCGAGGUCUCUCCUCCGCCUAUGUAUCUCGUCUCUCUGUAGUCACUUCUACGUCCUCCCUCCUUCUCUAUGGCGCACACACACACACACACACACACACAAAUACAUGAGCGGUGUUGCUGUGUUGAUGGUAAUACCAGGGUUAUUGGGAGGGGAGAGAGUAAUUCCCUCUGACAGCCCCAUUAAGGGAUGAAAUACCACCACUACUAAAAAACGACUUGGGUUUCACUUGUGACGCCGCACCAGCCUACAUUCGAUUUUUCUGGGUUAUUUUGAGGGCAAUCUGGAGCGGCAAAAUGGCAUGAAAAACUAAAAUAAAAAUGAAUACGUCGGUGUUUGUCGCGUUCGGGACGCCCAAGUGUUCGCCCGCCAAUUCCUUUUGCCCGCGUAUUUCUCCGUCAGCAGGAAAUCUAUAUGGCACUGGUUGUUUUCACUCUGGCUCAAGAGUUGCUUAUAAAUCACGGAUGAAGAGUGGACCACCGGCUCCGACUCAAAAACACGGUGGACCGGAGAGUAAAUCAGGGUCAGGUGGGCUUCAAUAAGCAGCCUUAACAAUCGCCAUCCAUCAACCGGAUUUCUUUAUGAAAAUAAAAAGAGAAAUCUGAGAUGUUCCAGCUUAUAGGCUCGUCACUUUUGUUUUACACCACAAAUUAACCCAAAGUGUCUUUAUACAGGCCAGAUUUUUAAUAGUACAUGAUUGGACCUCGACCAUGUUGCUGACAUCUGUGUUAACAGAAUUUACCACUGUGGAUGUGGUGUGUGUAAACACUGCUAACCCACCAAUGACUCCAAACCAACAUAAGCAUUACCUAAAGGGAGAACAUUAGUUGGGUAUUUACAAGCAGAGGCAGAGGAACAUUGGCAUUUGCUUGAAGCUGUGUUCAAAGCUACUUGAUGAAUUUUAGUGGAACGCUCACUUUCCUUUUAGCUCUGGUUCGGUCUCCUCCAACGGAAAA